UUAAGUUAUUAAGGGCGCACGGUGGAUGCCUUGGCACUAGAAGCCGAUGAAGGACGUUACUAACGACGAUAUGCUUUGGGGAGCUGUAAGUAAGCUUUGAUCCAGAGAUUUCCGAAUGGGGAAACCCAACAUGAGUUAUGUCAUGUUAUCGAUAUGUGAAUACAUAGCAUAUCAGAAGGCACACCCGGAGAACUGAAACAUCUUAGUACCCGGAGGAAGAGAAAGAAAAUUCGAUUCCCUUAGUAGCGGCGAGCGAAACGGGAAGAGCCCAAACCAACAAGCUUGCUUGUUGGGGUUGUAGGACACUCUAUACGGAGUUACAAAGGACGACAUUAGAUGAAUCAUCUGGAAAGAUGAAUCAAAGAAGGUAAUAAUCCUGUAGUCGAAAAUGUUGUCUCUCUUGAGUGGAUCCUGAGUACGACGGAGCACGUGAAAUUCCGUCGGAAUCUGGGAGGACCAUCUCCUAAGGCUAAAUACUCUCUAGUGACCGAUAGUGAACCAGUACCGUGAGGGAAAGGUGAAAAGCACCCCGGAAGGGGAGUGAAAUAGAACCUGAAACCGUGUGCUUACAAGUAGUCAGAGCCCGUUAAUGGGUGAUGGCGUGCCUUUUGUAGAAUGAACCGGCGAGUUACGAUUUGAUGCAAGGUUAAGCAGUAAAUGUGGAGCCGUAGCGAAAGCGAGUCUGAAUAGGGCGUUUAGUAUUUGGUCGUAGACCCGAAACCAGGUGAUCUACCCUUGGUCAGGUUGAAGUUCAGGUAACACUGAAUGGAGGACCGAACCGACUUACGUUGAAAAGUGAGCGGAUGAACUGAGGGUAGCGGAGAAAUUCCAAUCGAACCUGGAGAUAGCUGGUUCUCUCCGAAAUAGCUUUAGGGCUAGCCUCAAGUGAUGAUUAUUGGAGGUAGAGCACUGUUUGGACGAGGGGCCCCUCUCGGGUUACCGAAUUCAGACAAACUCCGAAUGCCAAUUAAUUUAACUUGGGAGUCAGAACAUGGGUGAUAAGGUCCGUGUUCGAAAGGGAAACAGCCCAGACCACCAGCUAAGGUCCCAAAAUAUAUGUUAAGUGGAAAAGGAUGUGGCGUUGCCCAGACAACUAGGAUGUUGGCUUAGAAGCAGCCAUCAUUUAAAGAGUGCGUAAUAGCUCACUAGUCGAGUGACACUGCGCCGAAAAUGUACCGGGGCUAAACAUAUUACCGAAGCUGUGGAUUGUCCUUUGGACAAUGGUAGGAGAGCGUUCUAAGGGCGUUGAAGCAUGAUCGUAAGGACAUGUGGAGCGCUUAGAAGUGAGAAUGCCGGUGUGAGUAGCGAAAGACGGGUGAGAAUCCCGUCCACCGAUUGACUAAGGUUUCCAGAGGAAGGCUCGUCCGCUCUGGGUUAGUCGGGUCCUAAGCUGAGGCCGACAGGCGUAGGCGAUGGAUAACAGGUUGAUAUUCCUGUACCACCUAUAAUCGUUUUAAUCGAUGGGGGGACGCAGUAGGAUAGGCGAAGCGUGCGAUUGGAUUGCACGUCUAAGCAGUAAGGCUGAGUAUUAGGCAAAUCCGGUACUCGUUAAGGCUGAGCUGUGAUGGGGAGAAGACAUUGUGUCUUCGAGUCGUUGAUUUCACACUGCCGAGAAAAGCCUCUAGAUAGAAAAUAGGUGCCCGUACCGCAAACCGACACAGGUAGUCAAGAUGAGAAUUCUAAGGUGAGCGAGCGAACUCUCGUUAAGGAACUCGGCAAAAUGACCCCGUAACUUCGGGAGAAGGGGUGCUCUUUAGGGUUAACGCCCAGAAGAGCCGCAGUGAAUAGGCCCAAGCGACUGUUUAUCAAAAACACAGGUCUCUGCUAAACCGUAAGGUGAUGUAUAGGGGCUGACGCCUGCCCGGUGCUGGAAGGUUAAGAGGAGUGGUUAGCUUCUGCGAAGCUACGAAUCGAAGCCCCAGUAAACGGCGGCCGUAACUAUAACGGUCCUAAGGUAGCGAAAUUCCUUGUCGGGUAAGUUCCGACCCGCACGAAAGGCGUAACGAUUUGGGCACUGUCUCAACGAGAGACUCGGUGAAAUCAUAGUACCUGUGAAGAUGCAGGUUACCCGCGACAGGACGGAAAGACCCCGUGGAGCUUUACUGUAGCCUGAUAUUGAAAUUCGGCACAGCUUGUACAGGAUAGGUAGGAGCCUUUGAAACGUGAGCGCUAGCUUACGUGGAGGCGCUGGUGGGAUACUACCCUAGCUGUGUUGGCUUUCUAACCCGCACCACUUAUCGUGGUGGGAGACAGUGUCAGGCGGGCAGUUUGACUGGGGCGGUCGCCUCCUAAAAGGUAACGGAGGCGCUCAAAGGUUCCCUCAGAAUGGUUGGAAAUCAUUCAUAGAGUGUAAAGGCAUAAGGGAGCUUGACUGCGAGACCUACAAGUCGAGCAGGGUCGAAAGACGGACUUAGUGAUCCGGUGGUUCCGCAUGGAAGGGCCAUCGCUCAACGGAUAAAAGCUACCCCGGGGAUAACAGGCUUAUCUCCCCCAAGAGUUCACAUCGACGGGGAGGUUUGGCACCUCGAUGUCGGCUCAUCGCAUCCUGGGGCUGUAGUCGGUCCCAAGGGUUGGGCUGUUCGCCCAUUAAAGCGGUACGCGAGCUGGGUUCAGAACGUCGUGAGACAGUUCGGUCCCUAUCCGUCGUGGGCGUAGGAAAUUUGAGAGGAGCUGUCCUUAGUACGAGAGGACCGGGAUGGACAUACCUCUGGUGUACCAGUUGUCGUGCCAACGGCAUAGCUGGGUAGCUAUGUGUGGACGGGAUAAGUGCUGAAAGCAUCUAAGCAUGAAGCCCCCCUCAAGAUGAGAUUUCCCAACUUCGGUUAUAAGAUCCCUCAAAGAUGAUGAGGUUAAUAGGUUCGAGGUGGAAGCAUGGUGACAUGUGGAGCUGAUGAAUACUAAUCGAUCGAAGACUUAAUCAA
rnacentral:rRNA from 1 species